rnacentral:rRNA from 1 species
GGCCGCUUUUCUGCACUGUAAGGAGGUGCCGGAACAAGGGGUGGGCAAGACGGCUGCCAGCCGCCGCGGUAAUAGCCGCACCCCAAGUGGUAGUCAUUGUUAUUGGGCUUAAAGUGUUCGUAGCCGGACGCGUAAGUCUGCUGUGAAAUCCAUGCGCUUAACGUAUGGACAUGCAGCGGAUACUGCGUGUCUAGGAACCGGACGGCGUCGAGGCUAUUCCCGGGGUAGGGGUGAAUCCUAAAAUCCCUGGAGGAGCACCUGUGGCGAAAGCGCUCGACGAGUACGGAUUCGACGGUGAGGGACGAAAGCCAGGGGAGCAAAGCGGAUUAGAUACCCGCGUAGUCCUGGCCGUAAACAUUGUCCGUUUGAUGUCGGACAACCUUCGAGGUUGUCCGGUGCCGAAGUGAAAACGAUAAACGGACCGCCUGGGGAGUACGGUCGCAAGGCUGAAACUUAAAGGAAUUGACGGGGGAGCACCACAACCGGUGGAGGCUGCGGUUUAAUUAGAUCCAACGCAGAGCACCCUACCAGAGCCGACAGCAGAAUGACGGUCAGCUUGAAGAGCUUACCUGACGCGCUGAGAGGAGCUGCAUGGCCGCCGUCAGCUCGUGCUGUGAGGUGUCCGGUUAAGUCCGGUAACGAGCGAGACCCGCAUCCCAUGUUGCCAUGGAUUCCCUUCGGGGAUUCGGCACUCGUGGGAGACCGCUGGUGAUAAACCAGAGGAAGGUGCGGGCCACGGUAGGUCAGUAUGGCCCGAAUGCUCUGGGAUACACGCGGCCUACAAUGGCCGGGACAAAGGGAUGCGACUCCGAGAUGGAGAAGCUAAUCUCCUAAAUCCGGUCGUAGUACGGAUCGAGGCCUGCAACUCGGGCUCGUGAAGGCGAAAUCGGUAGUAGUCGCUGAUCAUCAUUCAGCGGCGAAUAAGUCCCUGCUCCUUGUACACACUGCCUGUCAAGUCACCCGAGUCAGGUUCAGACGAGGCUCUCGUUUUCGAGAAUCAAGUCUGAGCUUGGCAAGGGGGGCUAAGUCAUAACAAGGUAGACGUUGGGGAACCAGCGUCUG